GUUUUUCCAUUAAAAACACUUUCUUAAAAUACUUAUGUAGUUAUAUCAUUUGGAAAGUGACAUGAAAUAUUGCUAAAGAGUGAUGCAUACAGUGUUUGAGCAGUCUGUCUAGGAAUAGAACAACAACUGAAGUUGAUGGAAGAUACUGCAGAGUUUGGCUGGGAAAUAAUCCAACAGCAAAGUGGCUCUUUAAGCGCAUUUACCUAGAGGACUUACAGGGCCACAAAUUCAUGAGCACAUGUGAGCAGUGUACAAUUUACCUCAUACCAAAAAGGACCCGGAGGCAGUGACUGGUGUUCAAUAUUCUCAGAAGAAAAGGAAAAUGGCAGUGGAAGACUUGGACAAACAUUUUUAGCCUCUGUGUUAAGCCUGGCAGUCUGUGGCUGGUGACAUGUUUUAUUUUGGUUACUUCUUGUAUAAAAAAGACCAGUUAUGUAUUUUGUGAAUUGUAUUUUGUGUUUGUUUUUUGUCUUAAUUUAUUUGUUUUUUUUUUAAAUUUAGGAAUUUAAAACUUGGAUAAUUGAAUUAAGUCUGUGUUCAACAGUACUGAGCAUAGUAUAAUAAAUAACAAAUUUACAACAGUUGUUAAUUUGUUAUGUAUUAUUAUUAACUAUGCUCAGUACUUGAAUACUGGCUGUCUGCAUGGGAAUUUGUUUUCUAAAAAGUUGGUUUCAGACUUAAAUAUUUGAAGUUAACCUUCGGAACUUUUCUAGAAUUGUACUGGAACACAUCAACUAGAACUGAACUUCUGUAAUCGUUCUGAAAGUGUUCUAGAAUUAAUAAGGAACAGUUGUUGAACGUUAAAAUUUAUGAGAAAAAACUCUAGAACAAUUGUGCGUGAUGUGUGUGUGCAUGUAAUUGUGUGUGUUUAUGAACAUAUGUGAGAAAGGAAGUAUACUUGUCAUAAGAGAAAUGUAAAAUUCUACUUCUAUGUUUUAUAUUGUGCCUUUUAUAAGUUUUUCUUUUCUCACCUGUAUAUGCAUGCAUGUUUAUGGAUGUGUUUUUGAAUGUGUGCAUGCAUGCCUGUGGUUAAGAGAGUUGGUACUUAAUGAAAAUGUAAAACCACUCAUUUUUGAAUAUGUACUGUGACUGCAUGUGUGUGGUUAAUGAUUGAUGCCAGAUCUUGUUCUUGUUUAACUUCUAUGAUGAAACCUUUAUUUACAUUCACAUUUGUUUUUCAAAAUCAAUAAAAUGCCUUUGAUCUAUAAUCUGUUU